rnacentral:rRNA from 1 species
UACGUAGGGUGCAAGCGUUGUCCGGAAUUAUUGGGCGUAAAGAGCUCGUAGGCGGCUUGUCGCGUCGUCCGUGAAAACCUGCGGCUCAACUGCAGGCUGGCGGUCGAUACGGGCAGGCUGGAGUUCGGUAGGGGAGACUGGAAUCCUGGUGUAGCGGUGAAAUGCGCAGAUAUCAGAAGGAACACCGGUGGCGAAGGCGGUUCUCUGGGCAUGAUCUGACGCUGAGGAGCGAAAGUGUGGGGAGCGAACAGG